UGCUGGAGGUAUCAGAAGUGCGAAUGCUGACAUAAGUAACGAUAAAGCGGGUGAAAAGCCCGCUCGCCGGAAGACCAAGGGUUCCUGUCCAACGUUAAUCGGGGCAGGGUGAGUCGACCCCUAAGGCGAGGCCGAAAGGCGUAGUCGAUGGGAAACAGGUUAAUAUUCCUGUACUUGGUGUUACUGCGAAGGGGGGACGGAGAAGGCUAUGUUAGCCGGGCGACGGUUGUCCCGGUUUAAGCAUGUAGGCUGAUUGUCCAGGCAAAUCCGGAUAAUCAAGGCUGAGGUGUGAUGACGAGGCACUACGGUGCUGAAGUAACAAAUGCCCUGCUUCCAGGAAAAGCCUCUAAGCAUCAGGUAACAUCAAAUCGUACCCCAAACCGACACAGGUGGUCAGGUAGAGAAUACCAAGGCGCUUGAGAGAACUCGGGUGAAGGAACUAGGCAAAAUGGUGCCGUAACUUCGGGAGAAGGCACGCUGGUGUGUAGGUGAAGUCCCUGCGGAUGGAGCUGAGACCAGUCGAAGAUACCAGCUGGCUGCAACUGUUUAUUAAAAACACAGCACUGUGCAAACACGAAAGUGGACGUAUACGGUGUGACGCCUGCCCGGUGCCGGAAGGUUAAUUGAUGGGGUUAUCCGUAAGGAGAAGCUCUUGAUCGAAGCCCCGGUAAACGGCGGCCGUAACUAUAACGGUCCUAAGGUAGCGAAAUUCCUUGUCGGGUAAGUUCCGACCUGCACGAAUGGCGUAAUGAUGGCCAGGCUGUCUCCACCCGAGACUCAGUGAAAUUGAACUCGCUGUGAAGAUGCAGUGUACCCGCGGCAAGACGGAAAGACCCCGUGAACCUUUACUAUAGCUUGACACUGAACAUUGAGCCUUGAUGUGUAGGAUAGGUGGGAGGCUUUGAAGCGUGGACGCCAGUCUGCGUGGAGCCAACCUUGAAAUACCACCCUUUAAUGUUUGAUGUUCUAACGUUGGCCCCUUACCGGGGUUGCGGACAGUGUCUGGUGGGUAGUUUGACUGGGGCGGUCUCCUCCCAAAGCGUAACGGAGGAGCACGAAGGUUAGCUAAUCCUGGUCGGACAUCAGGAGGUUAGUGCAAUGGCAUAAGCUAGCUUGACUGCGAGCGUGACGGCGCGAGCAGGUGCGAAAGCAGGUCAUAGUGAUCCGGUGGUUCUGAAUGGAAGGGCCAUCGCUCAACGGAUAAAAGGUACUCCGGGGAUAACAGGCUGAUACCGCCCAAGAGUUCAUAUCGACGGCGGUGUUUGGCACCUCGAUGUCGGCUCAUCACAUCCUGGGGCUGAAGUAGGUCCCAAGGGUAUGGCUGUUCGCCAUUUAAAGUGGUACGCGAGCUGGGUUUAGAACGUCGUGAGACAGUUCGGUCCCUAUCUGCCGUGGGCGCUGGAGAAUUGAGGGGGGCUGCUCCUAGUACGAGAGGACCGGAGUGGACGCAUCACUGGUGUUCGGGUUGUCAUGCCAAUGGCACUGCCCGGUAGCUAAAUGCGGAAGAGAUAAGUGCUGAAAGCAUCUAAGCACGAAACUUGCCCCGAGAUGAGUUCUCCCUGA
rnacentral:rRNA from 1 species